rnacentral:rRNA from 1 species
GAUGAACGCUGGCGGCGUGCCUAAUACAUGCAAGUCGGGCGAAUGGAUUAAGAGCUUGCUCUUAUGAAGUUAGCGGCGGACGGGUGAGUAACACGUGGGUAACCUGCCCAUAAGACUGGGAUAACUCCGGGAAACCGGGGCUAAUACCGGAUAACAUUUUGAACCGCAUGGUUCGAAAUUGAAAGGCGGCUUCGGCUGUCACUUAUGGAUGGACCCGCGUCGCAUUAGCUAGUUGGUGAGGUAACGGCUCACCAAGGCAACGAUGCGCAGCCGACCUGAGAGGGUGAUCGGCCACACUGGGGAUGAGACACGGCCCAGACUCCUACGGGAGGCAGCAGUAGGGAAUCUUCCGCAAUGGACGAAAGUCUGACGGAGCAACGCCGCGUGAGUGAUGAAGGCUUUCGGGUCGUAAAACUCUGUUGUUAGGGAAGAACAUGUGCUAGUUGAAUAAGCUGGCACCUUGGCGGUACCUAACCAGAAAGCCACGGCUAACUACGUGCCAGCCGCCGCGGUAA